UACGGAGGGGGCUAGCGUUGUUCGGAAUUACUGGGCGUAAAGCGCACGUAGGCGGCGACUCAAGUCAGAGGUGAAAAGCCCGGGGCUCAACCCCGGAACUGCCUUUUGAAACUAGGUUGCUAGAAUCUUUGGAGAGGUCAGUGGAAUUCCGAGUGUAGAGGUGAAAUUCGUAGAUAUUCGCAAGAACACCGGUGGCGAAGGCGGCGACCUGGUCCUUUCUGGACGCUGAGGCGCGAAAGCGUGGGGAGCAAACAGGA
rnacentral:rRNA from 1 species